CCUUGUCAACCCACUCGCCCUCAACGGCCAAAAUGCUGUGCUCCCGGCGCAGCUCUGGCUCUGAAGGGCCGCCCGAUGGAAGAGGGAGUGGCCUCGGUUUUCUGGGGUAUGGGGGCAGAUCCAGGAGCAGAGGAAAGGGGAGGAGCUGCCAAGGUGAAGAUUUGGGUUUGAUAACAGGGGAAGCACUACUCCUAAGGGCUGAACCCAAGAGGAAUGGCUGCCCGGCAGGUGGAGGGCGGAUGACUCAGUCCGGGGUGUUGCAGACGGAUGCAGGAUGGUGCUGGCAUCAGACUAGCUGGUUUGUGAGAGGCUGCGAAGACAGAGGAGGCAUCUGGAGGCUGGAGAAGGCGUCUCCCCAGUGCCCCCAGGCCUGGAGCUCCAUGCAAAUGGCCACCUCCUCUAGCAGCCUCCAUCAUCAGGAGUCGUGUCUCCUGCACGGAUCUGCCUGCUCCAAAGUGGGUGGUCAAUGGCAUCGGGACAGACAGAGCUCCCACCGCAUGGCGACCUCGGACCAACGUUUCCUCGUCCGCUCCUUUGAAAGACAUGUUUGCGCAUCAAGCAUUUUCCCACAGCAGGGAGACAAUAUCCUGGCCUUUGCCAAAGAUCACAUGCUCUUAUCCUCAUCAUUCCUGUCGUCUGAAGUUUGACAAGAUUCAUCAGACAAAACCCAAUGGCCUCGUCUCCCUGGUGGCCCUAGGGACAUCAGGGAGGAGGAGCUGGCUGCUGACAAGUCCUUUUGGGUCUGUUGUGAGCCUGUCUGGCCACGUGAGCCACUCUCCGGAGGGAGCCUGGGGUCUCGGGACCCCUUCUUUUUCUCGGUUCCCAGGGUGCUCUGUCCCAUGGAGGCAGCCAUCGCCUUUUCCUCUUCUUCUAACCUGGGCCCCAGCUGACACUCUUCACUCCCCUCUUCUCCCUCCCCUAAACUGUGGUUGGGUAUGGCCACCAGCUGGCACGUCCAGCUCUGGGGCAACGUCACCAGAGAAAGUCCGUUCGAGGUGGAGAAUGUCAUCUUUUGAUGUCCCCCACGGCCGUAAUUUCUGGGCUGGAAUAGCUUCCUGAGCACAGAGUGAUUCUGGAGCGAAUUGGGAAAACACCAGAAAAGGGGUGAGCAGAAGCGACAGUCCACAGUCUAUCCCAAUAAAAUGGUGUUGCGGGGCGUGUGGAGGAGAGGC
rnacentral:lncRNA from 1 species